GCUCCCAUGGCGUAGUGGUCACUGCGCUCGCCUUGCACGCGGGAGACCCGGGUUCGAUUCUCGGUGGGGUCA
rfam:Asian citrus Psyllid, Diaphorina citri - Florida Strain, whole genome shotgun sequence.